AUUGAACGCUGGCGGCAGGCCUAACACAUGCAAGUCGAACGAGCGGCGGACGGGUGAGUAAUGUAUGGGGACCUGCGUGAUGGAGGGGGAUAACUACUGGAAAAGGUAGCUAAUACCGCAUACCACCAGAUGAACCCAUAUGGGUUUAGCUGGUAGGUGAGGUAACGGCUUACCUAGGCGACGAUCCCUAGCUGGCCUGAGAGGAUGAUCAGCCACACUGGGACUGAGACACGGCCCAGACUCCGACGGGAGGCAGCAGUGGGGAAUAUUGCACAAUGGGCGCAAGCCUGAUGCAGCCAUGCCGCGUGUAUGAAGAAGGCCUUCGGGUUGUAAAGUACUUUCGGUAGGGAGGCGGUACCGACAGAAGAAGCACCGGCUAACUCCGUGCCAGCAGCCGCGGUAAUAC
rnacentral:rRNA from 1 species